rnacentral:rRNA from 1 species
GUGGGGAAUAUUGGACAAUGGGCGAAAGCCUGAUCCAGCCAUGCCGCGUGUGUGAAGAAGGUCUUCGGAUUGUAAAGCACUUUAAGUUGGGAGGAAGGGCAGUAAGUUAAUACCUUGCUGUUUUGACGUUACCGACAGAAUAAGCACCGGCUAACUUCGUGCCAGCAGCCGCGGUAAUACGAAGGGUGCAAGCGUUAAUCGGAAUUACUGGGCGUAAAGCGCGCGUAGGUGGUUUUGUAAGUUGGAGAUGAAAUCCCCGGGCUCAACCUGGGAACUGACUCCAAAACUGCAUGACUAGAGUACGGUAGAGGGUAGUAGAAUUUCCUGUGUAGCGGUGAAAUGCGUAGAUAUAGGAAGGAACACCAGUGGCGAAGGCGACUACCUGGACUGAUACUGACACUGAGGUGCGAAAGCGUGGGGAGCAAACAGGAUUAGAUACCCGAGUAGUCC